GGCGCACGGGUGAGUAACGCGUAUCCAACCUUCCCAUGUCCACGGGAUAGCCCGUCGAAAGGCGGAUUAAUACCGUAUGAGGUCACAUGCGGGCAUCUAAGUGUGACGAAAGGUUUAGCGGACAUGGAUGGGGAUGCGUCCGAUUAGCUAGUUGGCGGGGUAACGGCUCACCAAGGCGACGAUCGGUAGGGGUUCUGAGAGGAAGGUCCCCCACAUUGGAACUGAGACACGGUCCAAACUCCUACGGGAGGCAGCAGUGAGGAAUAUUGGUCAAUGGGCGGAAGCCUGAACCAGCCAAGUAGCGUGCAGGAAGACGGCCCUAUGGGUUGUAAACUGCUUUCAGUCGGGAAUAACUCGUCGGUCGUGACCGACGUUGCAGGUACCGUCAUAAGAAGGACCGGCUAAUUCCGUG
rnacentral:rRNA from 1 species